rnacentral:rRNA from 2 species
AGGUCUCCUGAAGGAACGUUGAAGACGACGACGUUGAUAGGCCGGAUGUGUAAGCGCAGCGAUGCGUUGAGCUAACCGGUACUAAUGAACCGUGAGGCUUAACCUUACAACGCCGAAG